ensembl:snRNA Gm25589 predicted gene, 25589
AUAUUUACCCGGCAGGGAAGAUACCAUGAUCAAGAAGGAUGUUUUCCCAGGGUAAGGCUCACCCAUUACACUCCGGUUAUGCUGACUCCUGCAAUUUCCCCAAAUGCCAAAAACUCAACAGCAUAAUUUGUGUUAGUGGGGUAUAUAGGAUUUGAGCUUUUUCCAU